UGAGGAAUAUUGGUCAAUGGGCGGGAGCCUGAACCAGCCAAGUCGCGUGAAGGAAGAAGGAUCUAUGGUUCGUAAACUUCUUUUGCAGGGGAAUAAAGUGCAGGACGUGUCCUGUUUUGUAUGUACCCUGAGAAUAAGGAUCGGCUAACUCCGUGCCAGCAGCCGCGGUAAUACGGAGGAUCCGAGCGUUAUCCGGAUUUAUUGGGUUUAAAGGGUGCGUAGGUGGUUUGAUAAGUCAGCGGUGAAAGUUUGCAGCUUAACUGUAAAAAUGCCGUUGNAACUGUCGGACUUGAGUGUAAAUGAGGUAGGCGGAAUGCGUGGUGUAGCGGUGAAAUGCAUAGAUAUCACGCAGAACUCCGAUUGCGAAGGCAGCUUACUAAGCUACAACUGACACUGAAGCACGAAAGCGUGGGGAUCAAACA
rnacentral:rRNA from 1 species